rnacentral:lncRNA from 1 species
AGAGAACUCUGGCAUUCAGGAUGAGGAGGAAGAGAACUCUGGCGUUCAGGAGGAGGAGGAAGAGAACUCUGGCGUUCAGGACGAGGAGGAAGAGAACUCUGGCGUUCAGAAUGAGGAAGAGAACUCUGGCGUUCAGGAUGAAACAAGAGAGAACCCUGAAAGUCCACCACAGGAUCAGAAGGAAAUUGUAGCAACAAACCAUGAGUCUAACAUAGAAGAAAAUGGGGAUGGUGCCCAGGGUUCUCCAUGGAAUCAGUCUC